rnacentral:tRNA from 1 species
GCCGACCUAGCUCAGUGGUAGAGCAGCUGUUUCGUAAACAGCAGGUCGCGGGUUCGAAUCCCGCGGUCGGCUCCA